GGAGUUCAGUGGCGCUGUUAUAGCUCACUGCAGCCUCAAAAGUCUUGGCUAACGUGAUCUCCUGCCUCAGUCUCUUGAGUAGAUGGGACCACAGGCGUAUGCCACAGUACCCAAAGCUAAGUAACUUCAAAAGUAAAGUUGCUCUCAAAUGCUAGUAAAACAAAAUGUUAUAUGGACGGGGCAUGAUAUGUUUUAUAUUUUCAGAUGUGGGACUUACAGCUUACUGAUGAAUCCAAGCUCUGGACUUUAGAAAGCAAGAAAUGGACCAAAGCCAGUAAAAGAAUUUGUAACACACAAGAUUGCAAGGAGGAGAUUUUUAUGUGUUUUGUUCACUAAUGGACCUCAAGUACCUAGUGUCUGGCACUUGACAGGUGUUCAAUAAAUGCGUAUUCAGGAAAUGGAAAACAUAAUGUUACCAAAAGCUUGGAAACAAGGUGCUAGAAGGGUGGAACAAAGAAAGAAGGUGUAUGAUGGAUUUGACAGAUUAAGGAACACUGGGAAUUCUUUAACACUGCAAACCCCAAAAGUUGCUUCUCUGAGAAUAUGCUGAUGACUUUUGAUGAAGUUGGGUAGAUCAGAAAG